UGCAAGCUGACGGUUCAACACUGUAUUGGAGAUGCUGUUUCUGCAUUGAAUAACAAGGUCCUGAAUAUAAUAGGUUCCAUGGCAAUAUUUACAGAAGAAACAUGGGGGAUUGCCUGGUAUUCUAGCUGAUACUUGUUCUUCAAACAACGUCUGAAAACAGUACAAACAAGAACUUGUGCCGUAGUCAAGAGAAGGAUACAAGAAUAAACAGAAGGGAACUAUUCAUUGAAGUUGCUAUUAUAUGUAAAACUGAAGAACACGCCGAGCAGGGAGAGGAAUCCCAAGAUGGGAAUUGACGUUAGAAGACUUCUUCAUUCAUUCAUUAACUGAAUUACUGUCAGCCCUGAUGUUAAUUGUUGUUAAUCUCUCAUAUUCUGGUCAGUAGUGAGACAACCUUUUUAAUCAGAAACCAUCUGAUGUGAGCAGCAUUCAGAUUGAUUCAUUCACUCAGAGGGUCAUGAGAGUGUGGAAUGAGCUGCCAUUGCCAAGUGGUGCCUGUGAGCACUCGAUUUACAUGUUUAAGAGAAGUUUGGUACCAUGGAUGGCAGGGGUACAGCAGGCUAUGGUCCUGGUGCAGGCCGAUGGGAGUAUGCAGGUUAAAUGGUUCGGCACAGGUUAGAUGGGCUGAAGGGCCUGUUUCUGUGACUCUAUGAUUUUAUCUAUGUGACCUGCAGCCACUGCAUGGAGUGCAAUGGCCCAAGGUAAGCAGUAAUUCCAGACCACCGACUUCACUGAGCAAUGUCAUGUGA